UUGAGGGGGUACUUGUGCAUUUUCCCAAUAAUUUAAAACAUUUUUUUUAAAAAAAAAAGAAAAAAGAAAAAUAACGGAUCAGUUUUUAAAUGGAAAAUAUCAUGUUUCAUUAUUUAAAAUAAUUAAAUUUAAUAAAUAUAAUUACUAAUUAGCGUCUAUUAAGGAACUUUUUUUAAAAUCAGAUUAAUUGGUUACCUUAAAAAGCUCCAUUUAGUUGAAAUCAAAUUAAAUUGUGAUUUAAUUCCUUAAAACGAUCUAAUAAAACGAAAUCACAUUAAAUUGUUAUUUUUUCCAGAUAUCAUGUUUCUUUCUUGUUUGCAGAUUGCAUUUUCAUUUUUUUUAGUGAUUGAAGAUAUUUUGCUGUUGAAAAAACGUGAUUUGUUGUGAUGGACAACAUUGUAUCUAUAUUAAUUAAACAUGGUGAAAAGUGGAAUCCGUCAGGUUGGUAUUUCUUAUAGUUUGUUGGUUUGUUUUUGGUAAUUUUAUUCAAUAUACAGAUUAUUGCGUUUUUUUUUUUACAUCGUGUUUUGAUAUAUACCAUAUUUGCAACAGUACAGAGCAGUAUAGACGUCUUAGUUUUAUUAAAAUUGAAGACUCGAUUAAUACGUGUUUUAUGAAAAAAUAAAAUUAAUUUUACAGUGCGUUUAGUAACUAAUCAAGAACGAAUUAUUUAUAACGUUGUGGAUCAUUGUUGUAUGACAUUUGUAUUAAAUGCAUAUGAAUAGUUAUUAUUUUUUUGUUUGUAUGAAUUUUGUUUUGAUAGACAUUGUUUUGUAUUUUUUGGAUGAUGGAAUCAUGAUUUUUUUAUAUAUGAAUUAUGUUUUGAAUAGCAUUUUUUGUAUGUUACAUGAUGGAAAAAGUUUUAUUAAGCGUUUAUGAAGUCUAUGUAUUAUGUAUCCUGUUCGUAGUUAGUAUGCUUUGAAUAGUUAUUUCUGUUUGGUACGGGAUGGUAAAUGUUGUAUUAAGUUUGUAUGAAAUUUGUAUUAUUUUCGUAGUUAGUAUGUUCUGAAGAGCAAUUUCGAUAUGACAUGUGAUGAUGAAAGCUAUGCUAAUUGUGUAUGAAAUGGGUAUGAAAUUUGUAUUUUAUUGUAUGAAGUAUCUUUUCAAGGGUAAUUUCGUUAUGGUAUAGGUUGUUGAAAGGUAUAUUAAAUAUGUAUGAAGUGUGUAUAAAUUAUUUUACAAUUAAUAUGUAUUAUGGUAUAUUAAUUGUUAUUUUAAUGUUAUGAAACAAGGAAAUAUGUCGAUUUUCAGAUGGAGAGCAUCAUAUAUGAUGUCUUUACUCCGUAUAGUGGUCUAGUUAGUGCAAUAACAUUGCAACUUAAUAUAAAUGUUAAUAUAAGCGCUAUUGAGAUAAAAUAUAUUGUUAGUGAUAUGUGUCCACCUGUUAGCAUUCACAAUGAUGUUGGGAUGAGGAUUUUUCUAGUCAAAAGAAAGCAAAUUUAGAUUUCUUUACAAAAUAUCCAUUGUGCAUCUCUUUGAAAGAUUUUGAGAUGUAUAAUCAAGAUUCUGGAGUUGUUACUAAUAGGAGACAUUCUGAAGUUAGCUUAACACAAACUAACGUUGAUUUAUACUCUAACAAUUCCAUCCGUUUGAUCGGAGUGAAUUUAGACGGAGAUGUCGAUGAGAAUAAUGAAGAAGAUAAUGAUGUAAUAAGUGACCAUUCUAACCUAUUUGUAGCUAAUAAUCAGACUUACAAGAAUAAGGAAAUACUUAAGGAGGUGAUGAGGCAUGUUGGACUUUAAAAAAUUCAAUUUUCGUAUAUCGCGUUGUAAUGCAUCUAAAUAAGUACACAUCAUUCUUUUAAUUUGUGUUUUUUAUUUGAUUGAUUUUGGUUUAUAAAAUUCAAAUGUAUUUUUUUUUAAUUUGUGAAACAAUUAUUACCUGAAUUGUCUUUCUGAUACUUGUUCUUGGAUGAUGAGAUCAUCAUGUUUGAAUAGAUCAAAUUUAGUCAAAGUCAGAAAGUACAAUGUUGAACACACUUGUUCAGUUAAAGAUAGAGUUUAUGCAAGACGUCAGGAAAUAACUGUCGUUGUAGCUGUCUUAAUAAUGGAUAAGUAUAUUGAUUCAUCUACCGUAUACACUCCAAAGAAUAUAGUGGAGGAUAUGUUGAAAUUGCAUGGUGUUUUGCUAACAUACAUACAGGCGUGGAGAGCUAAAGAAAAAGCGAUGAAAUUUAUGCGUGGAGAUCCAACCGAAUCAUAUGCCAAACUACCAGGUCAUAUACUUAUGUUGGCGUAUGCGAUAGUGGAUUCUGAAAUGACGCUUUAUCGACUUGGUUCUUUGAAUAGUUUAAAAAAGCCUAUGGAGUUAAGCAAAACAUGUGUUUUAUGUCAGAUCGAAAUGAGAGAAUAUGAAAAGAGACUGUUACUGUAUAUCUCGAAUUCGAACAUUAUGCCUGCAUAUGGCACCUAACCUGUAAUGUGUUGAAGAAUUUCAAUAGGAAUACUGAAGAUUUGAAGAUUUUAUUUUUUACACUUGCAAAGGCUUAUACAAAACAACAAUUUGAGAUGAUUAUGAGAAGAAUAAACCAGAUAGAUCCGCAAAUAAGACAUUACUUAUUUGAUAUCGGUUAUAGCAAAUGGUCAAGAGCUUAUUCGGAUUGUAAGCGCGCAUGGACCAUGACUUCAAACAUUGCCGAGUUAUUGAAUAAUUAAUAGGAUAGCAAGGAGAUUACUAGUGAUUUCACUUAUUGAAUUUAUGAGGAUAACAAUUCAAAGAUGGAUUCACAAGCACAAUGAGGAGGCUGAUAAAACAAUAUCUGUGCUGACAAAAAAAUAUGAUCUUUAUCUCCAGAAAAGUAUUGCUUUGUCUUGCAAUAUGAAGGUGAUACCUUGUACAGUUGAUAUGCAUACUGUAGCUGAAGGAGCAAAGAAGUACAUAGUAAACUUGAACACAAAGAUGUGUAGUUACGGGAGAUUUCAACAUUAUUAUAUACCAUGUGGUCAUGUAAUUGCAGUUCUUAGAUACAGAAAAUUGCAUGAAGCAUAUUUCUGUUCUGCUUUUUAUAGCCUGAAGAAUUUCAAAGAUGCAUAUGUCAUUGUUGUUGAACCUAUCCCAUGCGAGUGUACAUGGGAUAUCCAAAGUUAUAUUUCAGAGCCUAAAUUGAUGUCACCUAGUCCAAAUAGAUUAGCGGGAAGACCAAAACUUAAACGCUCGAAGGGGUUUGCUGAUGUAAAAUUCAAAAGGUUAAAACUUACUUGUAGUAGAUGUCGUCAAGUUGGACACAACAGUAAGACUGUUCAAAUUAUUCUUUGUAAAAAACAAUUUACUAUUUUUACUUAUUGUUACACAUAUUUUUA